rnacentral:rRNA from 1 species
UUAUCAAUUAAAGCGGAGGAAAAGAAACCAACAGGGAUUGCCCUAGUAACGGCGAGUGAGCGGCAACAGCUCAAAUUUGAAAUCUGGCUCUUUCAGAGUCCGAGUUGUAAUUUGCAGAGGGCGCUUUGGCUUUGGCAGCGGUCCAAGUUCCUUGGAACAGGACGUCACAGAGGGUGAGAAUCCCGUACGUGGUCGCUAGCUAUUGCCGUGUAAAGCCCCUUCGACGAGUCGAGUUGUUUGGGAAUGCAGCUCUAAAUGGGAGGUAAAUUUCUUCUAAAGCUAAAUAUUGGCCAGAGACCGAUAGCGCACAAGUAGAGUGAUCGAAAGAUGAAAAGCACUUUGGAAAGAGAGUCAAACAGCACGUGAAAUUGUUGAAAGGGAAGCGCUUGCAGCCAGACUUGCUUGCAGUUGCUCAUCCGGGCUUUUGCCCGGUGCACUCUUCUGUAGGCAGGCCAGCAUCAGUUUGGGCGGUGGGAUAAAGGUCUCUGUCACGUACCUCUCUUCGGGGAGGCCUUAUAGGGGAGACGACAUACCACCAGCCUAGACUGAGGUCCGCGCAUCUGCUAGGAUGCUGGCGUAAUGGCUGUAAGCGGCCCGUCUUGAAACACGGAC